rnacentral:rRNA from 1 species
AAUCUAUACGUGAAACUGCGAAUGGCUCAUUAUAUCAGUUAUAGUUUAUUUGAUGGUUCUUGCUACUUGGAUAACCGUAGUAAUUCUAGAGCUAAUACAUGCGUCAAACCCCGACUUCUGGGAGGGGUGUAUUUAUUAGAUGGAAACCAAUGCGGGGCAACCCGGUAUAUGGUGAUUCAUAAUAACUUUCGGAUCGAUCUUCGGAUCGAUGCAUCAUUCAAGUUUCUGCCCUAUCAGCUUUGGAUGGUAGGGUAUUGGCCUACCAUGGCUUUAACGG